rnacentral:misc_RNA from 1 species
GUGAAUCAUCGAAUUUUUGAACGCAAAUUGCACUCUCUGGUAUUCCGGAGAGUAUGCGUGUUUAAGGGUCAGUUAAAAUAAAAAUCGGUGUGGUUGCUGCCUGUCGUGGUGACGCACCGGAUGUGGGUCGUCUUGCCUUCGGUUAAGAGAACUAAAAUGUUGCAUGAUUUUUUGGAACGAAUUUAAAUGAUUUUAGGUACGGUUGCGAUAUGGAAUACUGGGUGUGGGCAGCGUCAUGAUCAGCGCAU